ACGAACGCUGGCGGCGUGCUUAACACAUGCAAGUCGAACGAUGAAGGGGAGCUUGCUUCCUGGAUUAGUGGCGAACGGGUGAGUAACACGUGAGUAACCUGCCCUUGACUCUGGGAUAAGCGUUGGAAACGACGUCUAAUACCGGAUAUGACCUGUGACGGCAUCGUCUGCAGGUGGAAAGAAUUUUGGUCAAGGAUGGACUCGCGGCCUAUCAGGUAGUUGGUGAGGUAACGGCUCACCAAGCCGACGACGGGUAGCCG
rnacentral:rRNA from 3 species